rnacentral:rRNA from 1 species
UAUAGGGCUUGAGGUCGGGAGAGGGACGUGGAAUUCCCGGUGUAGUGGUGGAAUGCGUAGAGAUCGGGAGGAACAUCAGUGGCGAAGGCGACGUCCUGGCCCGCACCUGACGCUCAGACGCGAAAGCGUGGGUAGCGAACGGGAUUAGAUACCCCGGUAGUCCACGCUGUAAACGGUGGAUACUAGGUGUUGGUGGCUAUCGUCAUCAGUGCCGUAGCUAACGCGUUAAGUAUCCCGCCUGGGGACUACGGCCGCAAGGCUAAAACUUAAAGGAAUUGACGGGGGCCCGCACAAGCAGCGGAGCGUGUGGUUUAAUUCGAGGCUACACGAAGAACCUUACCUGGACUUGACAUACACGUAGAAGUGAAGCGAAAGCGGAACGACCCUUCGGGGAGCGUGAACAGGUGCUGCAUGGCUGUCGUCAGCUCGUGCCGUGAGGUGUUGGGUUAAGUCCCGCAACGAGCGCAACCCUUGCCGUUAGUUACAAGUGUCUAACGGGACUGCCGGUUUAAUGCCGGAGGAAGGUGGGGAUGACGUCAAGUCCGCAUGGCCUUUAUGUCCAGGGCUACACACACGCUACAAUGGCCGAUACAAUGGGUAGCCAAGCCGCGAGGCGGAGCUAAUCCUCUAAAGUCGGCCUCAGUUCGGAUUGCAGGCUGCAACCCGCCUGCAUGAAGUCGGAGUUGCUAGUAACCGCGCGUCAGCCAUAGUGCGGUGAAUACGUUCCCGGGCCUUGCACACACCGCCCGUCA